rnacentral:misc_RNA from 1 species
CAAAUUUAUUAGUACUGUGUAUGUCUGGGUCUAUAUGUCUACACAAUUUUUAUAUGGGACGUCUUUGUCAAUGCGAUUAUCAUAUCACUACUGUAUGCCACGUUGGUAUAUCGCAGAUCUAAUCCAGUCGCAGAUACCUCGAUCUCAAAACAAUAAAUUACACAAUUGGUCUAAACAAAUUAAAAUAAAGAUUAUUUAGUAUCUCAUACCAUUCAUAUCAACUUAAUCUAUUGGAGAAAACACAUUAAGAUAACGGUUUGUGGGUGAAUAGUUUUCGUAGUCGAUUUGAGUUUCAUUACUGUUACGCUAUAUUAUAUUCUACAUAUGUUUCUUGUUAAGGAAGUACCGUAGUCUAUAAAGUACGUUUUAUACUGCAAACUUUGUUUAUGCCUGAAUUGCAUUCAAAAGAACACUACCUUAAAUAGUAGAAUGUAAAAUUGACGACUUGAACAGGUAAACAGCCAGCUUUUGUGGCUGAACAAUGACAAUGAAUUUGAACAAUAUGUCAUCACAACAAGAUAACAUCAUAGAUAUGUGUACUUCAUAGCCUAUCGACUCUUGAGUAAGUAGACCUAUAAUUUUGCUAUAGUUAUCUUCUAAUUAUACACUCGAGUUGUUAAAGGUAAGUUAUCAUAGGCCUGCAUCAUAUCAUCACAUUUUGUUUAAGUUUGUGAACAGUAAAUGUGUCAUAGUUUUUCAAAGUAGAUAGCUCUCGUGUGCGAAAGGCUUCAUGAAGAUUGUGAAUAUUAGGCCUACACACAAUGUUUUUAGGCCUACAAUUAUAUUGGAACUGUAACAUUUCGUAGCGCUAUUACUGUAAUAGUCAAUUAUGGUCAUGUUGUCAUGGGUUUUUAUGAUUCAAGAUUUAGACAAGACUAAAAUGGAUUUUGUAUACAAAUUUGUACACAUAACGAUGAUGGUGAGUAGCAUGAUAAUUUGGUGUAGCAUGAUCACAGUAAUAACUGGUAGGCCUAUGGAAUGUUUCCGAGGCGGGCUUAUUUUAGCAUGAUGAUGGUGAUCUUGUGUAGCAUGAUCAAUGAAGCAGGCCUAUGCACAGUGAUAAUUAUCACGAGUGUAACAUAUUACUCACUGGUAUAUUAUGCUAAUCAUUGGAAUUGUUGCAUUGACCAUCGGUGUAGCAAUUUUUUUUAUAAAACGAAUAUUCCACUAGAAAUUGUGCAAACCAAAAAAAAGACAAAAUGUGUAUAUAAUAUCUAGCAAACCUUAGUACAGGGGAUGAGGCGCCAGGAAUUCCCCGACGAGAGGUCCAAGCUCCCUGACAAGGGGACUUGCCAACACUUAUGAGUGGCCGAAUACUCCUGGCGACGCAUUGUGCACUCAUUUUCAGACGCGUCAACAUAGGGUAAGUACAUAACAGAAUCUCUCAGCAAUUACAGGGUGGAACGAAGUUCUAUUUAACUCUAAGUCUGUAUCAGGCUUAAGUAGGCCUAGAGUUAUUCAGCCAUGAGAAGAGUGGACGCAUUCACGAAUCUAGUAUUGAUAAUCCCGGUAAUCAAUGUUUGUUUAAAUAUAGGCCUAUAUUAAUAUAAACAUUUUAGUAAAAAUAAUUAUUAACUGUCUUUUAAAUGUAGUAUACUUAAAUUAUAACUGUAAAAAGCAAAUGCUACUAUUAAUAACAAAGCGUGUAGGCAUAGGGCACUAUAUAUCGAGAAAAAAAAAGAAACACACAAAGCAUCCCAAAAAUGCUUGUGGACCCACAUCAACAUUGGUCAAAUCAUCAUCAGCAAGCCCAGGAACUUCAGAAGCCCAUCGGGAUCUACUAAAUCGAUCUUCAGUUUUUACUCUACACUGUAAAUAUUGUCUGCACACGUUUUAUUAUUAUUGUUAUUAUUUUUAAUGUGACCACAUGUGUUGUUACCUUUGCAUCUUAGACAAUACUCAGCCGGGAUCUGCUCUUCAACGUAAAAGUAGAAAGAAAACUUGUAACACAUAAAGUAAGUAACAAACUAUCAUUAGUUGCCUUACUACUCUAUAUUUGUUUGUUGUAAUCAUUUUUUUUUUAUUUUUAAGAUUUAAUUUCAUUGUCACACUUGUUUUGACGAUCAUAAACAUGCAUUGGCUAAUGGUCAUGCUCAUACUUCUCAAAACAGGAGUCGCUACUGCUGUAACAACUCAAGCCCCAGAUUGCCUACCAGUAUUUAAAACGUUAGCCUCCGGAGAACAUCAGAUAGUAAAUUCUUCGAACUACCCAGUUAGCUAUCAGCACGAUCUGGACUGCUAUUGGGAGUUUACGGCACCAGAGAAUCAUCACAUAUUGCUUACAUUAUACGAUGUUGAUAUUGAGAGUGAAUACGACUACCUUUUAGUAGGAAAUGGAGGAGAUACCAAUGCGACUAUAGCGCAAAUAUCAGGUUCAAGGAACCCUGGUAGCUUUCGAUCAACUGGCAAUGUGAUGUGGUUACGAUUCAUUACUGAUGCCAGUGUUGCAUAUAGUGGUUUUCAUGCAAAUGUAAAAGCAGUACUAGAGUAUGAUACUUGUGGUUUUACAUGCCGUGAUGGUGUUUGUAUGCGAGAAUCAUUUUUUUGUGAUAUGGUAAACGAUUGCUUAAAUGCUGAAGAUGAACUGGACUGUGUAUAUGAAUGUGAAGCUCUAGCUGUUAUAAGCCUUGGCUAUGCUGGUGAAUCACAGUCGUUCACUUCACCCCAUUACCCGGACAACUACUACAACAACAUAAACUGUCAAUGGAAUAUACGUGCCUCAGAUGAUCUUUUGAUUCUGCUCGAGUUUAAUGACUUUCACCUGGAGUUUGGAUUUGAUUUUGUGUUCAUAAGUUCAGGAAACAGUUCAUUAAAUCAAUUCUCUUUUACUGGAGAAAAUGUCCACUCUAUAUUGUCUGAGAGUAGCAAAAUGUCGGUAUUAUUGACCACGGAUGGAAGUGUAACCGAAAGAGGCUUUCUUGCAACUGUGAAAGCAGUUAAUCGAAAUGCUUCCGAAGCACCAACCAUUGUCUGCCCAGAAGAUUUCAUAUAUGGUAAGCCAGAACAUGUUCAUUUCAACGUGACUGCGACAGAUAAUGAUGGCGCUGUUUAUAUCACUUGUGAUCACUUGUCUGGAAGUUCGUUCAAUGAUACAACACUAGUUUCAUGUUUUGCAAAUGAUACUACCGGAAAUAGCUCUACCUGCAAUUUUACAGUAAUCAUAGAUAUGAAGGCCCCAAUAAUAAACUGUACUAUCGACCAGAUCACAUCAUUCAUUCCAUUGGUUAACUUCAGCCAGCCAAUAGCAGUUGACGACUUAUCCGAACCGAAUGUUGAUUGCUUUCCUUUUUCUGGAUCAAGGUUUCCAAUUGGUAACACGACCGUUACGUGUACUGCAAGGGAUCAUGUCAAUAACACAGCUACCUGUUCUUUUGUUGUUAAUAUCUCUUCUGAAGUGCCAGACAUUGUCUGCCCAGAAGACCACGUAUAUGAUACACCAAGCUAUGUUCAUUUCGACGUCACUGCGACAGAUAAAGAGGGCGCUGUUUAUAUCACGUGCGACCACUUGUCAGGGAGUUUCUUCAAUGAUGGUUCUACACUAGUUUCAUGCGUAGCAAUUGAUAUUACUGGUAAUAGAGUUACCUGCGUUUUUAAAGUAAUCAUAGAUAUAACGGAUCCAGUGAUAAACUGUACUACAGACCAGAUAACAUCAAUCAUUCCAUUGGUGAACUACAGCCAGCCAAUAGCAGUAGACGACUUAUCUAAACCGAUUGUCGAUUGCUUUCCGGUUUCCGGAUCAACGUUUCCCAUUGGUUACACGACCGUUGAGUGUAUUGCAAGGGAUCAUGUCAACAAUACAGCUAACUGUUAUUUUGUUGUAAAUGUCUCUUCUGAAGCGCCAGACAUUGUCUGCCCAGAAGACCACGUAUAUGAUACACCAAGCUAUGUUCAUUUCGACGUCACUGCGACAGAUAAAGAGGGCGCUGUUUAUAUCACGUGCGACCACUUGUCAGGGAGUUUCUUCAAUGUUGGCUCCACACUAGUUUCAUGCGUGGCAAUUGAUAUUACUGGUAAUAGAGUUACCUGCGUUUUUAAAGUAAUCAUAGAUAUAACGGAUCCAGUGAUAAACUGUACUACAGACCAGAUAACAUCAAUCAUUCCAUUGGUGAACUACAGCCAGCCAAUAGCAGUAGACGACUUAUCUAAACCGAUUGUCGAUUGCUUUCCGGUUUCCGGAUCGACGUUUCCCAUUGGUUACACGACCGUUGAGUGUAUUGCAAGGGAUCAUGUCAACAAUACAGCUAACUGUUAUUUUGUUGUAAAUGUCUCUUCUGAAGCGCCAGACAUUGUCUGCCCAGAAGACCACGUAUAUGAUACACCAAGCUAUGUUCAUUUCGACGUCACUGCGACAGAUAAAGAGGGCGCUGUUUAUAUCACGUGCGACCACUUGUCAGGGAGUUUCUUCAAUGUUGGCUCCACACUAGUUUCAUGCGUGGCAAUUGAUAUUACUGGUAAUAGAGUCACCUGCGAUUUUAAAGUAUUCAUAGAUAUAACGGAUCCAGUCAUAAAUUGUACUACAGACCAGAUAACAUCAAUAAUUCCGUUGGUGAACUACAGCCAGCCAAUAGCAGUUGACAACUUAUCCAAACCGACUGUUGAUUGCUUUCCUAUUUCUGGAUCAACAUUUCCUAUUGGUUAUACGACCGUUGCGUGUACUGCAAGGGACUAUGCUAAUAACACAGCUAGUUGUUCAUUCGCUGUUAAUGUCUCUUCUGAGGCACCAAAUAUUUUCUGCCCAGAAUACUACAUAUAUGGUACACCAAGAUAUGUUCAUUUCAACGUCACUGGUACAGAUAAAGAGGGCCCUGUUUUUAUCACGUGUGACCAUUUGUCAGGAAGUUUGUUUUUUAAUACCACACUAGUUUCAUGCUUAGCAACUGAUAUUACUGGAAAUAAUGCUACCUGCGACUUUAAAAUAACCAUAGAUUCUGAAGCACCAACCAUUGUUUGUCCAGAAGAUGUCGCAUAUGGUAGCCCUAGACAUGUCAAUUUUAACAUGACUGGAACAGAUAAAGAAGGCACUAUUAAUAUAACGUGUAACCAUUUGCCUGGAAGUCUGUUCGAUGAUACCACACUAGUUUCGUGCGUAGCAAUUGAUAUUGCAGGAAACAGUGCUACCUGCGAUUUUAAAGUAAUCAUAGAUACAGUAGCUCCAGUUAUUUCCUGUCAGAAGGGCGAGUUAAAGUAUACAACGCCUUAUGUAAACUACAGGAACCCAACGGUGACUGAUGACCAAUCCACUAAUCCAACUGUAUCGUGUCAACCUGAAUCUGGUUCUGUUUUUGAAGUUGGUGAUACUCUCGUUGAGUGCAUAGCUAUCGAUGACGUUAACAAUGCUGCAUCGUGUUCAUUUCUUGUUAAAGUGUCAAAAUACAAAGACGUUUUUCCACCCAGCAUCACUUGUCCAAUGGAUAUCAUUUCACCAAGCCAAUCUCCAGAUUGGACCAUUCCAAUUGCCACAGAUGACCAAACACAGUCACCGCCGGUUGAAUGUUCACCGGAUCCAAAUAAAGAAUAUGCAAUUGGAUCCGUGAAUGAGGUCACUUGUACUACGAUUGAUGACGCAGGAAAUAAAGCGUUGUGUUCAUUUACAAUAAGUGUUGCAUCUGAAACAUCCACUGAAAUUGUAAAAAUAACAGAGAUGGUAACCGACGAAAGUGUGGAAGAUGUGAGUCAAGAGUUGGACGAAUACUUAGAGGAGGUUGACAUGUUGGAGCCGGUGGAUGUUGUAGUCACAUCUGUGGCUUUAGAGGCAAUCACGAAUUUGGGUUCACCUGAUAAAAACGUUACAGAAGCUGUUGUUAGUAUUGUCGAUGUGGUUGUUGGAACCACAGAUCUAAACGUACCGCCCAAAACAACCGCUAGUAUACUCGAUUCGUUUGAAGAUCAGGUGGAUGUUAUUGCAAAUUCUGGUGAAAAUUACACGCAAGUCGAAGAAAAUAUCGCAAUACAAACUCUGAGUCUUGACUCAAACACAAUUCAGAGUAAUGUAAAAUUCAUCGUAUCUGGAAAUGCUACAAAUACCCGCGUAUGUGUUGGUAAUGAAUGCAGUGAAACCGUGGCAUUUUCAGUCACUUUACCUAAAAGCAUCUUAAAGGCAUCUGAAGGUAAAGGUGUAAAUAUAAGCUUUGUUGUGUAUACCAAUGACAAGCUUUUCUCUUCGAAUCGUGAGAGCGAAACAAAUACUACAGGAACCGUUUUAUCUGCAACGGUGUACACCGAUGAGGUUCUACCACCAGUAUUCGAAGAUCCAGUUGAAUUGACGUUUACUGCGCCAGAGUAUCCAUCUUCGAGUACAUACAAGUGUGCUUACUGGAAUGAAACAAUGAAUGAAUUUGGAGAUUGGUCCUUCGAAGGCUGCAACUUUACUGGAUUACUUGAAAACCGACAGAUAAUAUGCGAGUGCACCCACUUAACAAACUUUGCUGUCUUAAUUAUCAAUUCGAAGCCGUCAACCUCAGCAAAUAAUGGUGAAUCUAUGUUUCUCAAUGUUGUUUCUCUACAUCGUGUUUCUAUUUGGUGUCGAUACUGCUCGACAUGGGAGCAAUGGAUGUAUCACUGUUGCCGUACUUCUCCACUAUUUUUUACUGACGACGAUUGCAUGGACUGCCGUGGAAGCAGCCAAUAUAUACUACCUUAUUAUCAACGUAUUUAACCAGCCAACUUCGAGGUUCAUGAGCCUCUCGUUAGCACUUGCAUGGGGUCUACCUUGGAUUCCAAUUAUCAUUAUGCUGUCUGUCGACAAACAUUUUUACAAUAACGACAAAUACUGUUACAUCAACAGUGCUGAAAAGGUAGCCCUUAUCGGUGGAAUCGUUGCGCCUAUAAGCAUUAUUAUCUUU